CCUACGGGCGACAGCAGUCGAGAAUCAUUCACAAUGGGGGAAACCCUGAUGGUGCGACGCCGCGUGGGGGAAUGAAGGUCUUCGGAUUGUAAACCCCUGUCAUGUGGGAGCAAAUUAAAAAGAUAGUACCACAAGAGGAAGAGACGGCUAACUCUGUGCCAGCAGCCGCGGUAAUACAGAGGUCUCAAGCGUUGUUCGGAAUCACUGGGCGUAAAGCGUGCGUAGGCUGUUUCGUAAGUCGUGUGUGAAAGGCGCGGGCUCAACCCGCGGACGGCACAUGAUACUGCGAGACUAGAGUAAGGGAGGGGGAACCGGAAUUCGCGGUGUAGCAGUGAAAUGCGUAGAUAUCGAGAGGAACACUCGUGGCGAAGGCGGGUUCCUGGACAUUAACUGACGCUGAGGCACGAAGGCCAGGGGAGCGAAAGGGAUUAGAUACCCUGGUAGUC
rnacentral:rRNA from 1 species